rnacentral:rRNA from 1 species
GCUCCUUCGGGAGUACACGAGCGGCGAACGGGUGAGUAACACGUGAGUAAUCUGCCCUUCUCUUCGGAAUAAGCGUUGGAAACGACGUCUAAUGCCGAAUAUGACCUUCUUUCGCAUGAUCGAAGGUGGAAAGCUCCGGCGGAGAUGGAUGAACUCGCGGCCUAUCAGCUUGUUGGUGAGGUAAUGGCUCACCAAGGCAUUGACGGGUAGCCGGCCUGAGAGGGUGACCGGCCACACUGGGACUGAGACACGGCCCAGACUCCUACGGGAGGCAGCAGUGGGGAAUAUUGGACAAUGGGCGAAAGCCUGAUCCAGCAACGCCGCGUGAGGGAUGACGGCCUUCGGGUUGUAAACCUCUUUCAGCGGGGACGAAGCGAAAGUGACGGUACCCGCAGAAGAAGGACCGGCCAACUACGUGCCAGCAGCCGCGGUAAUACGUAGGGUCCGAGCGUUGUCCGGAAUUAUUGGGCGUAAAGGGCUCGUAGGCGGUUUGUCGCGUCGGGAGUGAAAACUCAGGGCUCAACCCUGAGCGUGCUUCCGAUACGGGCAGACUAGAGGUAUGCAGGGGAGAACGGAAUUCCUGGUGUAGCGGUGGAAUGCGCAGAUAUCAGGAGGAACACCGGUGGCGAAGGCGGUUCUCUGGGCAUUACCUGACGCUGAGGAGCGAAAGCAUGGGGAGCGAACAGGAUUAGAUACCCUGGUAGUCCAUGCCGUAAACGUUGGGCGCUAGGUGUGGGGACCUUCCACGGUCUCCGUGC